GAAAUGCGAUAAGUAAUGUGAAUUGCAGAAUUCAGUGAAUCAUCGAAUCUUUGAACGCACAUUGCGCCCCUUGGUAUUCCGAGGGGCAUGCCUGUUCGAGCGUCAUUAUAGCCAAUCCAGCCCUGCUGGGUGUUGGGCCCGCCGGUCGGCGGGCCCCAAAGGCAGUGGCGGCGUGCGUCGCACCCUGAGCGUAGUACACAAUCCUCGCUACAGGGCCCGGCGCGCCCCGGCCAGCAACCCCCCCUUCUCAAGGUUGACCUCGGAUCAGGUAGGGAUACCCGCUGAACUUAA
rnacentral:misc_RNA from 1 species